GACGGCAACAGGAAAGGUGUAAUGCUUUUGAUUGGAAUGGAUUUCCUGCCCGUCAUCAAUCAAGUGGUCUUCUUGGCUAACAAAAUUUGAAGUUUAAUCCUGAGACCAUUUUUCUGUACCUCUAAGAGCUGCUUGAAUACCUGUCAGCCUCCUCCCAAUCCCCAGAUGAAAGCACAGUGGCAUCUUCAUUGCAUUUGAGCAGAUGUUACUAAAAUCCUACUCAUAAUAGAUAGAGACAGCCAGCGAGAGAGGGAAC